ACAGCCACAUCAUCUUCAAACACUGGUUCCUGUAUAAUCACCAAAGUUAAGCAAGGUUGAGCCUAGUCAGUACUUAGAUGGGUGACUGCCUGGGAAUACCAGGU